AGUGAACGCUGGCGGCGUGCCUAAUACAUGCAAGUCGAACGGAGAUUAAGUAGCUUGCUAUUUAAUCUUAGUGGCGCACGGGUGAGUAAUAUAUAGCUAAUCUGCCCUACACUAGAGGACAACAGUUGGAAACGACUGCUAAUACUCUAUACUCCUUCUAAGCAUAAGCUUAGUCGGGAAAGUUUUUCGGUGUAGGAUGAGGCUAUAUCGUAUCAGCUAGUUGGUGAGGUAAUGGCUCACCAAGGCUAUGACGCGUAACUGGUCUGAGAGGAUGAUCUGUCACACUGGAACUGAGACACGGUCCAGACUCCUACGGGAGGCAGCAGUAGGGAAUAUUGCUCAAUGGGGGAAACCCUGAAGCAGCAACGCCGCGUGGAGGAUGACACUUUUCGGAGCGUAAACUCCUUUUCUUGGGAAAGAAUUAUGACGGUACCCAAGGAAUAAGCACCAGCUAACUCCGUGCCAGCAGCCGCGGUAAUACGGGGGAUGCAAGCGUUACUCGGAAUCACUGGGCGUAAAGGACGCGUAGGCGGAUUAUCAAGUCUCUUGUGAAAUCUAACGGCUUAACCGUUAAACUGCUUGGGAAACUGAUAAUCUAGAGUAAGGGAGAGGCAGAUGGAAUUCUUGGUGUAGGGGUAAAAUCCGUAGAGAUCAAGAAGAAUACCCAUUGCGAAAGCGAUCUGCUGGAACUUAACUGACGCUAAUGCGUGAAAGCGUGGGGAGCAAACAGGAUUAGAUACCCUGGUAGUCCACGCCCUAAACGAUGUAUACUAGUUGUUGCUUCGCUAGUCGAGGCAGUAAUGCACCUAGCGGAUUAAGUAUACCGCCUGGGGAGUACGGUCGCAAGAUUAAAACUCAAAGGAAUAGACGGGGACCCGCACAAGCGGUGGAGCAUGUGGUUUAAUUCGAAGAUACGCGAAGAACCUUACCCGGACUUGAUAUCUAACAAAUCAUCCAGAGAUGGAAGAGUGUCUGCUUGCAGAAAUGUUAAGACAGGUGCUGCACGGCUGUCGUCAGCUCGUGUCGUGAGAUGUUGGGUUAAGUCCCGCAACGAGCGCAACCCACGUAUUUAGCUGCUAACGGUUAGGCCGAGCACUCUAAAUAGACUGCCUUCGUAAGGAGGAGGAAGGUGUGGACGACGUCAAGUCAUCAUGGCCCUUAUGUCCGGGGCGACACACGUGCUACAAUGGCGUAUACAAUAAGACGCAAUAUCGCGAGAUGGAGCAAAUCUAUAAAAUACGUCCCAGUUCGGAUUGGAGUCUGCAACUCGACUCCAUGAAGCCGGAAUCGCUAGUAAUCGUAGAUCAGCCAUGCUACGGUGAAUACGUUCCCGGGUCUUGUACUCACCGCCCGUCACACCAUGGGAGUUGAUUUCACUCGAAGCCCAAAUACCAAACCGGUUAUGGUCCACAGUGGAAUCAGCGACUGGGGUG
rnacentral:rRNA from 1 species